CACGUAGGGGGCGAGCGUUGUCCGGAUUUAUUGGGCGUAAAGAGCUCGUAGGUGGCUCGGUAAGUCGGGUGUGAAAUUUCGAGGCUCAACCUCGAGACGCCACCUGAUACUGCUGUGGCUAGAGUCCGGUAGGGGAGCGUGGAAUUCCUGGUGUAGCGGUGAAAUGCGCAGAUAUCAGGAGGAACACCUAUUGCGAAGGCAGCUCGCUGGGACGUUACUGACGCUGAGACGCGAAAGCGUGGGGAGCAAACAGG
rnacentral:rRNA from 1 species